AACGAACGCUGGCGGCAGGCUUAACACAUGCAAGUCGAACGAAGUCUUCGGACUUAGUGGCGGACGGGUGAGUAACACGUGGGAACGUACCUUUUGGUUCGGAACAACUCAGGGAAACUUGAGCUAAUACCGGAUGAGCCCUUAGGGGGAAAGAUUUAUCGCCGAAAGAGCGGCCCGCGUUAGAUUAGCUAGUUGGUGAGGUAAAGGCUCACCAAGGCUACGAUCUAUAGCUGGUCUGAGAGGAUGAUCAGCCACACUGGGACUGAGACACGGCCCAGACUCCUACGGGGGGCAGCAGUGGGGAAUCUUGCGCAAUGGGCGAAAGCCUGACGCAGCCAUGCCGCGUGAAUGAUGAAGGUCUUAGGAUUGUAAAAUUCUUUUACCAGGGACGAUAAUGACGGUACCUGGAGAAAAUGCCCCGGCUAGCUUCGUGCCAGCCGCCGCGGUAACAC
rnacentral:rRNA from 1 species